rnacentral:rRNA from 1 species
ACGACUUCUCAACUGUCUCAACCAUAGACUCGGCGAAAUUGCACUACGAGUAAAGAUGCUCGUUACGCGCGGCAGGACGAAAAGACCCCGGGACCUUCACUAUAGCUUGGUAUUGGCGUUUGGUUCGGUUUGUGUAGGAUAGGUGGGAGACUGUGAAGCAGGCACGCCAGUGUUUGUGGAGUCAUCGUUGAAAUACCACUCUGAUCGUAUUGAACCUCUAACCUCGGACCGUAUAUCCGGUCCAGGGACAGUGCCUGGUGGGUAGUUUAACUGGGGCGGUUGCCUCCCAAAAUGUAACGGAGGCGCCCAAAGGUUCCCUCAACCUGGACGGCAAUCAGGUGUUGAGUGCAAGUGCACAAGGGAGCUUGACUGCGAGACCUACAAGUCAAGCAGGGACGAAAGUCGGGACUAGUGAUCCGGCACCUCUGAGUGGAAGGGGUGUCGCUCAACGGAUAAAAGGUACCCCGGGGAUAACAGGCUGAUCUUCCCCAAGAGUCCAUAUCGACGGGAUGGUUUGGCACCUCGAUGUCGGCUCGUCGCAUCCUGGGGCUGGAGCAGGUCCCAAGGGUUGGGCUGUUCGCCCAUUAAAGCGGCACGCGAGCUGGGUUUAGAACGUCGUGAGACAGUUCGGUCUCUAUCCGCCGCGCGCGUCAGAAACUUGAGGAAACCUGUCCCUAGUACGAGAGGACCGGGACGGACGAACCUCUGGUGUACCAGUUGUUCCACCAGGAGCACGGCUGGAUAGCUACGU